CCUACGGGUGGCAGCAGUGAGGAAUAUUGGUCAAUGGGCGCGAGCCUGAACCAGCCAAGCCGCGUGAAGGAUGACUGUCCUCCGGGUUGUAAACCUCUUUUAUAAAGGAAUAAAGUCGGGCACGUGUGCCUUUUUGUAUGUACUUUAUGAAUAAGGAUCGGCUAACUCCGUGCCAGCCGCCGCGGUAAUACGGAGGAUCCGAGCGUUAUCCGGAUUUAUUGGGUUUAAAGGGAGCGUAGGUGGGUUGUUAAGUCAGUUGUGAAAGUUUGCGGCUCAACCGUAAAAUUGCACUUGAUACUGGCAGUCUUGAGUACAGUUGAGGUAGGCGGAAUUCGUGGUGUAGCGGUGAAAUGCUUAGAUAUCACGAAGAACUCCGAUUGCGAAGGCAGCUUACUAACCUGCCACUGACAUUGAUGCUCGAAAGUGUGGGUAGCAAACAGGAUUAGAUACCCGGGUAGUC
rnacentral:rRNA from 1 species